GGACAGAGGCUCUUAUGUUAAUGGGGGUUCAAAACAAUUUAUGCACUCCGAAGAGUGGAGAAAUUUUGGUUGCUUCCACCCAGGAUUUUCUGACGUCUUCCUUUCUCAUUACGAGGAAGGACACAUUCUAUAACCGUGCUUCCUUUUCACUAAUUUGUUCAUAUAUGGGCGACGCAAUGGAUCCUACAGAUUUGCCAUCUCCAGCAUUUAUUAAACCGGC
rnacentral:misc_RNA from 1 species